rnacentral:rRNA from 1 species
AGAGUUUGAUCCUGGCUCAGGACGAACGCUGGCGGCGUGCCUAACACAUGCAAGUCGAACGGAGUGAUGAUUUCGGUUAUCACUUAGUGGCGAACGGGUGAGUAACGCGUGAGAAACCUGCCUUUCAGUGGGGGACAACAGUUGGAAACGACUGCUAAUACCGCAUAAUGUUAUUUGGGGGCAUCCCCGAAUAACCAAAGAUUUAUUGCUGAAAGAUGGUCUCGCGUCUGAUUAGAUAGUUGGUGAGGUAACGGCUCACCAAGUCGACGAUCAGUAGCCGGUCUGAGAGGAUGAACGGCCACAUUGGGACUGAGAUACGGCCCAGACUCCUACGGGAGGCAGCAGUGGGGAAUAUUGGGCAAUGGGCGAAAGCCUGACCCAGCAACGCCGCGUGAAGGAAGAAGGCCUUCGGGUUGUAAACUUCUUUUACCAGGGACGAAACAAUGACGGUACCUGGAGAAAAAGCAACGGCUAACUACGUGCCAGCAGCCGCGGUAAUACGUAGGUUGCAAGCGUUGUCCGGAUUUACUGGGUGUAAAGGGCGUGUAGGCGGAGAUGCAAGUUGGGAGUGAAAUCCCGGGGCUCAACCCCGGAACUGCUUUCAAAACUGCAUCCCUUGAGUAUCGGAGAGGCAAGCGGAAUUCCUAGUGUAGCGGUGAAAUGCGUAGAUAUUAGGAGGAACACCAGUGGCGAAGGCGGCUUGCUGGACGACAACUGACGCUGAGGCGCGAAAGCGUGGGGAGCAAACAGGAUUAGAUACCCUGGUAGUCCACGCUGUAAACGAUGAAUACUAGGUGUGGGAGGACUGACCCCUUCCGUGCCGCAGUUAACACAAUAAGUAUUCCACCUGGGGA